AGAAUGACAGAUUUUUACCAUGUCAGUUUAGGGAUUCGAUCCAGCAACCUUUCGGUUACUGGCUCAAUGCUCUCACCACUAGGCUACCUGCUGCCCCGAAUCAUAGCCCCCCGAAGGGUUUUGAAUGAACUGCAGCAUCCCUGAUACAUUUAAAUACAUUUGCCAAAGUUCUAGAAUUACUGCUGUCUGUUCAGAAAUAAAUUAAAUAAUUCAGAAUACCCUACUACACCAUGAGAAGGCCUAUCAUUUAGCAACAGAGAAUCAAUAGCUUUUUUAUAGCCUAGCUGUGGAUUGUAGCCCAAUAACAAGGAAUAGAACAAGGAAUAGGCAAUAGCAAGGAACAAGGAAUAGCCUACAUUUGGGAACAAGCAGCAAACAUGUCUGGAAAAAAGCAGCAUGCAGACAAAACAGGCCGUUCCCAAUAUUUCAAAUACAAUCGAGGAAAAACACAGGUUGGAAAGCAAAUGGCUCCUGCUGAAAAGAGACGACUAUGCUGUAGGCGACCAAAAUAUUUAAUCGACUUCCAAAUAUUGUUUUACAAGAGAGAGAGCGAGAGAGGUAGGCUUUUGGUAUGAGCGCGUCCGCCAUCACAAGCAAGUAAGCUGCGCAUCAUUGGGUGAGUCAGUGAAACUGGAAAGCAUUUUUAGGACUAAUUUCCUCUUCAUAUUGUAGCCUAGAAUAUGUGUCUCCACACACACAGGCCUCCGCUAUUAAUGGAUUCAACACAAAGUAGUUUUUAUUGAUCUCAUAUUCUCAGUUUGUCAGUGUUAAAGUAACCUGCCAUUUCGAUCAUGUGUGUGGUAUUAAAAAAUAUUCUGCCAAAGUCUCUAGUCAUUAAAAUGAAGGAGAAAUGGAUUUAUAAAAGGCCAACAUUUUCCCGGACAUUAUGCUACUACAAAUGUUCUCCGUGUUUGCAACUUGUAAGUGCCUCUACUCUACUGCGAUGAUCUGCAUGCAAUGCUUUAUUAUAAAGGACUUUUGUGUAUGUGUUCCGGUACUUCAGAACCUCCCCAGGCACCUCCCGAUUUACACAUUAAGCACCCGUAUUACCAUAAACGGUCAUAGUUUAAAGCCCAUAUUGUACUGCAAAUACCGUAUAGUGAUUCAAGGGAAUAUUUUUUAUUUAUUUAACUAGGCAAGUCAGUUAAGAACAAAUUCUUAUUUACAAUGACGGCCUACCACGGCCAUCAUGACGACGCUGGGCCAAUUGUGCACCCAGUUGAGAUACAGCCUGAAUUUCGAACCAGGGUCUGUAGUGACACCUCUAGCACUGAGAUGCAAUGCCUUAGACCGCUGCACCACUUGGGCGCCCUGGAUUGGUAUAUGCACCAUUUUUUUGAAGUAGGCCUAAUGAUAUACACUGAGUGUACAAAACAUUAAGGACACGUUUCUAAUAUUGAGUUGCAACUCUCAUCUCUCCAGUAUUGCAGUUCAUCAUGUAUUUCUUUGUGUUUUGUGAGUCCACCAGAUCAGAGGCUGUAGGGAUGACCAGGGAAGUUCUCUAAGUGCUUGAAUUUGAAAAUGUUCCUGUCCUGCUAAGCAUUCAAAAUAUAACAAGUACUUUUGGGUGUCAGGGAAAAUAUAUGGAGAAGUACAUUAUUUCCUUUAGGAAUGUAGUGAAGUAAAAGUUGUAAAAAAAUUGAAAUAAAGUAAAGCACAGAUACUCCAAAAUAUUUAAUUAGUACUUUAAAGUAUUUUUACUUAAGAACUUUACACCACUGAUUCUUGCAUUCUAAAUAACAGGCUCUCUCACUAUCUGGCCAGCUUUCUGAUGAACAGAAUGGCUUUAGGAAAGCCAGAGCAUGUAUAGGACACAUCUAAACCACAGGAGGUUGGUGGCCCAUUAAUUUGGGAGGACUGGCUCAUUAUGGUUAGAGCAGAAUAAGUGGAAUGGUAUGAAUUGCAUCAAACACAUGGUUUCCACUGAUCUAUACUGUCUAGAAUUCAAGAGAGAGAACCAACUUCUGAACAAAAACUUCCUGUUUUAUUGAUUUUCAGAAGGGUUUUUAUUGGGUGAGUAGAGACCUCCUUGCUUUUAGACAAAUUAUAAUGGGAAUUGAUGGAUUAUUCUUUGAUGCUAUCAAAGCUCUUUUAUCUGACUCCAGUUGCCUGUAUUUAGGUCAGUAACCUCAGGACUGGCUUGUUUCCAACCCCUUUACGGUGUAAAGCAGGGAGACACACUCUCGCCCACUUUAUUUGCACUAUAUGCUAAUGAUUUAGCCCUACAAAUCAAAAGUGCUAAACUUGGUGUUGAAAUUGCGGAUAUAUUCCUGGGCAUCUUGUUGUAUGCUGAUGUCAUAGUUCUCCUUGCUUCCAGAAUAUGUAGAAUAUUGUUAAUUUACGGUGUACUAAAUUGACACUAGUGAUGAAUCAAGAGAAGACCCAGAAGGGUGUGCAGAGAAGUGGAAACGACCCCAUUAUUCUACACUGGGCUCUAUAAUUACCUUGGUUUCACACUGGAUGAACACAUGGCCGUUGAAGACGGCCUUAGAUCACUGGCAGAAUCUGCAGGUAGAGCCUUGGGGUCAGUGUUUAAACCAAAUGAAAAUAUAGAAGGAUCUGGCUUACUUUCAGCUGUAUACAUGUUGUGGGUGUCCAGUGAUGGACUAUGCUGCUGGGAUGUGGGAUCCAACGUGCUUAAUAAUUGUAACAAUGUUCAAAACAGAGCCUUCUGUUUCUUGGAAGGUACAAACUGACUGGGGUUGGGAACCAUGUGUGCCAUGGAUCAUCUAUGGAAAAGACUGAUAAAUGUGCCAGAACACAGAAUCACUUAUAAAGUGUUAGACUGGGAUCUUACUCAUAACAAUUCUCUAGCCCAUGGAAAGUUAUCUAUUUUUUUGUGAUAUAUUCUGGAACAAAUUACUAUGUGAUUCACAAGGAACAAUGGCCAGUUAAUGUUUGGUGCAAACCUAAACUUAGAACGUACACUUUCACCAAAGAGAACUACACCCCUGAACCAUUAUGUUCAGGGGUGAGCCUAACGAAAAUCCGACACCCUCCCUCUGGCUAUAUAGACAGGUAGAUUUAACA
rnacentral:lncRNA from 13 species